UACGAAGGGGGCUAGCGUUGCUCGGAAUCACUGGGCGUAAAGGGCGCGUAGGCGGAUCUUUAAGUCGGGGGUGAAAUCCUGAGGCUCAACCUCAGAAUUGCCUUCGAUACUGGAGAUCUUGAGACCGGAAGAGGUGAGUGGAACUGCGAGUGUAGAGGUGAAAUUCGUAGAUAUUCGCAAGAACACCAGUGGCGAAGGCGGCUCACUGGACUGGUAUUGACGCUGAGGUGCGAAAGCGUGGGGAGCAAACAGGG
rnacentral:rRNA from 1 species